AUCAAGCUAAAAAAGUAUAUCUAAUUCAAAAUAGAAAAGGUUAAGGUUAAGGACUUCGGAAAUUUUUUAACAAAUCGGUAUUGUCCCAACACCUAAAGCCUCCCAAAUUGGAUAUCAAUUUAAAUUUUCUUUGUGUCAUAGCCUUUGAGUCCUUUUGAAGUGAUCUCCAAGUAAAUUAUAUGCACAUUCAGACAUACUUUUGAU
rnacentral:lncRNA from 1 species